rnacentral:rRNA from 1 species
GACGAACGCUGGCGGCGUGCUUAACACAUGCAAGUCGAACGGAAAGGCCCUGCUUUUGUGGGGUGCUCGAGUGGCGAACGGGUGAGUAACACGUGAGUAACCUGCCCUUGACUUUGGGAUAACUUCAGGAAACUGGGGCUAAUACCGGAUAGGAGCUCCUGCUGCAUGGUGGGGGUUGGAAAUUUUCGGCGGUUGGGGAUGGACUCGCGGCUUAUCAGCUUGUUGGUGGGGUAGUGGCUUACCAAGGCUUUGACGGGUAGCCGGCCUGAGAGGGUGACCGGCGACAUUGGGACUGAGAUACGGACCAGACUCGUACGGGAGGCAGCAGUGGGGAAUAUUGCACAAUGGGCGGAAGUCUGAUGCAGAAACGCCGCGUGCGGGAUGACGGCCUUCGGGUUGUAAACAGCUUUCGCCUGUGACGAAGCGGGAGUGACGGUAAUGGGUAAAGAAGCACCGGCUAACUACGUG